rnacentral:rRNA from 1 species
GAACGCUGGCGGCGUGCUUAACACAUGCAAGUCGAACGGAGAUGUGUGCUGAAGAAGCUUCGGCAGAUUCUUACGCAUCUUAGUGGCGGACGGGUGAGUAACGCGUGGGUAACCUGCCUUAUACAGGGGGAUAACACUUAGAAAUAGGUGCUAAUACCGCAUAAGCGCACAGGACCGCAUGGUCUGGUGUGAAAAGCUCCGGCGGUAUAAGAUGGACCCGCGUCUGAUUAGCUGGUUGGUGGGGUAGAGGCCCACCAAGGCGACGAUCAGUAGCCGGCCUGAGAGGGCGACCGGCCACAUUGGGACUGAGACACGGCCCAAACUCCUACGGGAGGCAGCAGUGGGGAAUAUUGCACAAUGGGGGAAACCCUGAUGCAGCGACGCCGCGUGAGUGAAGAAGUAUUUCGGUAUGUAAAGCUCUAUCAGCAGGGAAGAAAAUGACGGUACCUGACUAAGAAGCCCCGGCUAACUACGUGCCAGCAGCCGCGGUAAUACGUAGGGGGCAAGCGUUAUCCGGAUUUACUGGGUGUAAAGGGAGCGUAGACGGCAUGGCAAGUCUGGAGUGAAAGACCGGGGCUCAACCCCGGGCCUGCUUUGGAAACUGUCAGGCUGGAGUGCAGGAGAGGUAAGUGGAAUUCCUAGUGUAGCGGUGAAAUGCGUAGAUAUUAGGAGGAACACCAGUGGCGAAGGCGGCUUACUGGACUGUAACUGACGUUGAGGCUCGAAAGCGUGGGGAGCAAACAGGAUUAGAUACCCUGGUAGUCCACGCCGUACACGAUGAUCACUAGGUGUCGGGGAGUAAAGACUC